GUGGAUUUGCAGCAGAAACACCCUGCUAAAGAACAAGUAUCUUGAUUCACAGCAAAGAAGACAAAGAAAAACAGCAAGUUCUAGGGGGUUGAAUCCUGGAUUGACAGACCAUAUACUAUGAACUUGGUGAACUAGGAAAUUUCACACAAUAUGUGAGUAUGUCAGGCAAUCACUUGAAGGCCUUGAUUAAAACUGACUGACCUCCUGGAAGAAGAGGGAAUUCUGGCAGCAAACUGCCUUUGGACUUGAAUCGUGGCUCUGGCCUGAGUCUCCAGCCUAUUGUCCCACCCUGCAAGUUUUGAACUGGCCAACGCUCCACAAUUUAAGCAGUUAAUCAGCCCACUCUCUUUCUUCACAUCCUGUUAUCUUGGUUUCUCUGGAGAACCAUUACAAACACACAUAUAAACAGAAAAUCAUUUGGUUAAG
rnacentral:lncRNA from 1 species